rfam:Myotis brandtii contig188783, whole genome shotgun sequence.
GAGACACCCCUAUGGAGCAAGACUUGAUUGAGUGGGGCUUUGGUGCUCACCUUGAGUCUGCCCCUUGAGUGUGUCACU